rnacentral:lncRNA from 1 species
AGACCAACCUGGGCAACAAAGUAAGAUUCUGCCUCUACAAAAAGUUAAAGGCCGGGCGCGGUGGCCCAUGCCUGUAAUCCCAGCACUUUGGGAGGCUGAGGCGGGCGGAUCACGAGGUCAAGCGAUCCAGAUCAUUCUGGCCAACAUGGUGUUAUCCAGAGUUUACUACCUGCCAAAUGUGAUACUAAAAGCAGCUUAUUUUA